AUACGGAGGGUCCGAGCGUUAUCCGGAAUCAUUGGGUUUAAAGGGUCCGUAGGCGGGAAUCUAAGUCAGUGGUGAAAUCUUGCAGCUCAACUGUAAAAUUGCCAUUGAUACUGGAUUUCUUGAAUUAGUGUGAAGUGAUUAGAAUGUGUAGUGUAGCGGUGAGAUGCAUAGAUAUUACACAGAAUACCAAUUGCGAAGGCAGAUCACUAACACUAUAUUGACGCUGAGGGACGAAAGCGUGGGGAGCGAACAGGAUUAGAAACCCUGGUAGUCC
rnacentral:rRNA from 1 species